UGAGGAAUAUUGGUCAAUGGACGAGAGUCUGAACCAGCCAAGUAGCGUGAAGGAUGAAGGUCCUACGGAUUGUAAACUUCUUUUAUAAGGGAAUAAACCCUCCCACGUGUGGGAGCUUGUAUGUACCUUAUGAAUAAGCAUCGGCUAACUCCGUGCCAGCAGCCGCGGUAAUACGGAGGAUGCGAGCGUUAUCCGGAUUUAUUGGGUUUAAAGGGAGCGCAGACGGGUCGUUAAGUCAGCUGUGAAAGUUUGGGGCUCAACCUUAAAAUUGCAGUUGAUACUGGCGUCCUUGAGUGCGGUUGAGGUGUGCGGAAUUCGGGGUGUAGCGGUGAAAUGCUUAGAUAGCACGAAGAACUCCGAUUGCGAAGGCAGCACACUAAUCCGUAACUGACGUUCAUGCUCGAAAGUGUGGGUAUCAAACAGG
rnacentral:rRNA from 1 species